CGUGUCUACACGCGUACACACGUACGCGAAAUAAAUAAAUACGCCGUCGUCGGCGUUGUUUACGACGGGAACGCGUCCGGCGAAGAAACCUAUUUAUUUUAUUAUUAUUAUUAUUAUCAUUUUUUUAUUUUCUUUCCGCAUUAUUAUCACUGUAGCGAUUUUAUUAUUAUCAUUAUUAUUACUAUUAUUUAUUUUCUGUGAUUUUUCCUCGGUUUUCACCGUCGUCGCCGCCGCCGCCGCCGCCGGUGCACACGCGCGUGCACGCGAACGUGUACGACAAUAAACCGCGUUGCACGUCUGGCGAAUAGAUUGUACGGUCCUGGUCGCCGUCUAUCAUAAUAUACGAGGUACCUGCACACGGUAUGUGUGGCGGCGCGGCGGCGGGAUGUAAGUUUGCGCGCGCGACUAUUGUUGCGAGAUAAAGACGUUUUUUUUUUUUUUUUUUUUUUUUUUUUUUUUUUUUAUUUUUUUUUUUUUAUUUUUUAUUUUUUUUUUCAUUCAUUCUUUCUUUCUUUCUUUCUUUCUUUCUCGUCCCCCGUCACCGUACGCGCGUAUGCAAUAUACGGUAUCGCGUACACUAUACGUAUAGGGAUGUACGUUAUAUAGUUCGGUGGCAUAAUACGCCCGGGACUUCUAUUAUCGGCUCCCGUACACCCUCUACCCCCCCCUCACCAACCCCACAGCCCCGUAUCGUAUCCGCCGACACGGGCCGUUUUCUAGAAGGUCCCGUUUUUUUUUCCGGGCGGCGGCGAGUAAUUGGAAUUCGGAAAAAAAGGAUACGGCCAUUUGAUGAUAAUUCGAGAUUCGAAAAAAAAAAAUAAAAAACAUUGUGUAUAUAUAUAUUAUACGUAUAGAAAAAAACACGCCACCGACAACGCUAAGUAUUAUAGCCGACGAAAAACGUUCGGACCGUAUAAAACCGAUUUUCGUUUACGCCCGCCAUCGUUUUUCAACAUUAGUAAGUAAUGGAGUUUCCGACGUGCGUGUAUUUCGCCCCUUCGAUUCCGAGCACAAAUUUCUACACCGUUUCUUAUAACCGGCUUGAAACUUUUUACCCGAGACCGGAUGUAAGUGGCGAUCCGCCGGGGUAAAAAAUACGCGCGGUCAUCGUUGUUUAAAAGAAUUACAUUCAAGUGGGUCUAUUUCUUCGACGGGAAACAACAAGGGAAAAAAAUACUUAAAACUAAAAUAAACAUCGUACGCAUACACACACACAAAAACAAACACACACGCACACACACAUGUAUAUAUAUAUAUAAAUUUUAAUAUUCGAGGAGGGCAGAAACGAAUGCGGUCUGUGAAAAACGAUCGCCUCUCGGUUUUUUUUUUUUUUAAGAUAUAAAGUCAGAUGGGAGCUCAAUACGAAAAUUAAUAAAUAUCGG